UGCCAGACUCCUACGGGAGGCAGCAGUGGGGAAUAUUGCACAAUGGGGGAAACCCUGAUGCAGCGACGCCGCGUGAGUGAAGAAGUAUUUCGGUAUGUAAAGCUCUAUCAGCAGGGAAGAAGAAAGACGGUACCUGACUAAGAAGCCCCGGCUAACUACGUGCCAGCAGCCGCGGUAAUACGUAGGGGGCAAGCGUUAUCCGGAUUUACUGGGUGUAAAGGGAGCGUAGACGGCUGUGCAAGUCUGAAGUGAAAGCCCAGGGCUCAACCCUGGGACUGCUUUGGAAACUGUGGAGCUGGAGUGCUGGAGAGGUAAGUGGAAUUCCUAGUGUAGCGGUGAAAUGCGUAGAUAUUAGGAGGAACACCAGUGGCGAAGGCGGCUUACUGGACAGUAACUGACGUUGAGGCUCGAAAGCGCGGGGAGCAAACAGGAUUAGAUACCCUUGUA
rnacentral:rRNA from 1 species